rnacentral:piRNA from 3 species
ACUCUGGACUCUGAAUCCAGCGA